rnacentral:lncRNA from 1 species
AGAGUCCUGAGCUCGCCUCCAUUUCCUGCCACUUCACCAGAGCCGAGACUACUCUGUGGGCUACUUGAAGUCAUGAAGACUUUUUUGGUAACUUUGGCUGUGCUGCUGCUCUUCCUCCAAGUCAUUCCAGAUAACCUAGACCUCUCUAGGGGAGGGACUGGGAGUAGACAGUGAGUCUUGGUCAGGGCACACCAGGGCCUGGGAGGAUGGGCUGACAGGGAGCAGUGUGAAAUAUUAAUUGUCUGGAGGAAGAGGAAAGAGUCCCCAGAUCCUGGUUUAGAACCUGCCUCACCAUUUGCAAGUUCUGUGAUGCCCCCAGCAAACUACUUGGUGCCUGCAGGAUUGAAACAUGUUGGAAUUUUCGUGGCUCCUGCCGUGACGAAUGCCUGAAGAAUGAAAGGGUCUAUGUUUUCUGCGUGAGUGGUAAACUGUGCUGUUUGAAGCCCAAGGACCAGCCACAUUUACCACAGCAUAUAAAGAAUUAGUGCUUUAAAGUCUGAGGCCACAAAAAUGAAGAUAAACUUGCCUUAAGUCUGAUGUCAGUAGAUUCCUGGGCUUUAUUAAAACAUCUUUGGCUGA